AAAACCCUGCCCCCGGGGCUCUGGGAUAACAGCGGGAAACCGCUGCUAAUACCGGAUAUCCACCUUCCACCGCAUGGCGGAAGGUGUAAAGGCCUGCCGGCCCGGGAUGGUCUCGCGGCCCAUCAGCUUGUUGGCGGGGUAACGGCCCACCAAGGCAGCGACGGGUAGCUGGUGUGAGAGCAUGACCAGCCACACUGGGACUGAGACACGGCCCAG
rnacentral:rRNA from 1 species